AGGAGUUGGCGCGGUGGUCGCGGGCCGGGCAACCGGCCUGAGGAAAGUCCGGGCUCCCCAACGAGCGGAUUGCUGGGUAACGCCCAGUGCGCGCGAGCGUGAGGAUAGUGCCACAGAAACAUACCGCCGAUGGGAGUGGCAACACUCCACAGGCAAGGGUGCAAAGGUGCGGUAAGAGCGCACCAGCGACAUCGAGAGGUGUCGGCUCGGUAAACCCCGUCCUGAGCAAGGCGGGGGACAGAUGGGUUGCUCGUUGACCGUCCCCCAAAAGCCGCUUGAGGCGUCAGGCAACUGGCGUCCCAGACAGAUGACCGCCCUUCGAACAGAACCCGGCUUACGUCCGGCUCCUCCAC
rnacentral:RNase_P_RNA from 2 species